rnacentral:rRNA from 1 species
ACGGAGGAUGCAAGCGUUAUCCGGAUUCAUUGGGUUUAAAGGGUGCGCAGGCGGAUUGGGAAGUCAGGGGUGAAAUCCCCCAGCUCAACUGUGGAACUGCCUUUGAAACUAUGAGUCUUGAGUAUAGUUGGAGUUGGCGGAAUGUGUCAUGUAGAGGUGAAAUUCGUAGAUAUUGGGCAGAACACCGGUGGCGAAGGCGGCUAGCUAGGCUGUAACUGACGCUGAGGCGCGAAAGCGUGGGGAGCAAACAG